UACGUAGGGCGCAAGCGUUUAUCCGGAAUUAUUGGGCGUAAAGAGCUCGUAGGCGGUUUGUCGCGUCUGCCGUGAAAGUCCGGGGCUCAACUCCGGAUCUGCGGUGGGUACGGGCAGACUAGAGUGAUGUAGGGGGAGACUGGAAUUCCUGGUGUAGCGGUGAAAUGCGUAGAUAUCAAGUGGACACCAGUGGCGAAGGCGAGUCCCUGGACACUUCCUGACACUGAGGCACGAAAGCUAGGGGAGCAAACAGG
rnacentral:rRNA from 1 species